UUGAACGCUGGCGGCAUGCCUUACACAUGCAAGUCGAACGGCAGCACGGGGGCAACCCUGGUGGCGAGUGGCGAACGGGUGAGUAAUACAUUGGAACGUGCCCUGAAGUGGGGGAUAACGUAGCGAAAGUUACGCUAAUACCGCAUAUUCUGUGAGCAGGAAAGCAGGGGAUCGCAAGACCUUGCGCUUUAGGAGCGGCCGAUGUCGGAUUAGCUAGUUGGUGAGGUAAAGGCUCACCAAGGCGACGAUCCGUAGCUGGUCUGAGAGGACGACCAGCCACACUGGGACUGAGACACGGCCCAGACUCCUACGGGAGGCAGCAGUGGGGAAUUUUGGACAAUGGGGGCAACCCUGAUCCAGCCAUUCCGCGUGAGUGAAGAAGGCCUUCGGGUUGUAAAGCUCUUUCGGCCGGGAAGAAAUCGCAUCUUCUAAUACGGGGUGUGGAUGACGGUACCGGAAGAAGAAGCACCGGCUAACUACGU
rnacentral:rRNA from 1 species